rnacentral:RNase_P_RNA from 1 species
GGAGUAGGUCAAAUGAUCGCCGGCCCCCCCAACGGAGGGCGGGAGGAAAGUCCGGGCUCCACAGGGCUGGAUGCUGGGUAAUUCCCAGUCUCGGCGACGAGGAGGAAAGUGCAACAGAAAGCAGACCGCCCCGCCUUGGCGGGGUAAGGGUGAAACGGUGAGGUAAGAGCUCACCAGUCCCGGUGGCGACAUCGGGAGCUAGGCAAACCCCAUCCGGAGCAAAACCAAAUAGGGGAGUGUUUGAGGGCGGCCCGUCCGAGCUCCCGGGUAGGUUGCUUGAUCCCGCCGGCAACGGCGGGGCUAGAGGAAUGAUCAUUGCCCUUCGGGCCGCAAGCCGGCUCCGAGGGGAACAGAACCCGGCUUAUGAACUGCUCCAGGU